rnacentral:rRNA from 1 species
GAUGAACGCUAGCGGCAGGCUUAAUACAUGCAAGUCGUGGGGCAGCAUGAGUGUAGCAAUACAUUUGAUGGCGACCGGCAAACGGGUGCGGAACACGUACACAACCUUCCUUCAAGUGGGGAAUAGCCCAGGGAAACUUGGAUUAAUACCCCGUAAUAUUAUGGAGUGGCAUCACUUUAUAAUUAUAGCUCCGGCGCUUGAUGAUGGGUGUGCGCCUGAUAGGUAGUUGGCGGGGUAACGGCCCACCAAGCCUUCGAUCAGUAACUGGUGUGAGAGCACGACCAGUCACACGGGCACUGAGACACGGGCCCGACUCCUACGGGAGGCAGCAGUAAGGAAUAUUGGUCAAUGGACGCAAGUCUGAACCAGCCAUGCCGCGUGGAGG